rnacentral:rRNA from 1 species
GACGAACGCUGGCGGCGUGCCUAAUACAUGCAAGUUGAGCGCUGAAGGUUGGUACUUGUACCAACUGGAUGAGCAGCGAACGGGUGAGUAACGCGUGGGGAAUCUGCCUUUGAGCGGGGGACAACAUUUGGAAACGAAUGCUAAUACCGCAUAAAAACUUUAAACACAAGUUUUAAGUUUGAAAGAUGCAAUUGCAUCACUCAAAGAUGAUCCCGCGUUGGAUUAGCUAGUUGGUGAGGUAAAGGCUCACCAAGGCGAUGAUACAUAGCCGACCUGAGAGGGUGAUCGGCCACAUUGGGACUGAGACACGGCCCAAACUCCUACGGGAGGCAGCAGUAGGGAAUCUUCGGCAAUGGACGAAAGUCUGACCGAGCAACGCCGCGUGAGUGAAGAAGGGUUUCGGAUCGUAAAACUCUGUUGGUAGAGAAGAACGUUGGUGAGAGUGGAAAGCUCAUCAAGUGACGGUAACUACCCAGAAAGGGACGGCUAACUACGUG